UGGGGAAUCUUGCGCAAUGGGCGAAAGCCUGACGCAGCCAUGCCGCGUGAAUGAUGAAGGUCUUAGGAUUGUAAAAUUCUUUUAGCAGGGACGAUAAUGACGGUACCUGCAGAAAAAGCCCCGGCUAACUUCGUGCCAGCAGCCGCGGUAAUACGAAGGGGGCUAGCGUUGCUCGGAAUUACUGGGCGUAAAGGGAGCGUAGGCGGGUUAUCAAGUUGGGGGUGAAAGCCCGGGGCUCAACCUCGGAAUUGCCUUCAAAACUGAUAACCUGGAGUAUGGAAGAGGUAAGUGGAACUCCGAGUGUAGAGGUGAAAUUCGUAGAUAUUCGGAAGAACACCAGUGGCGAAGGCGACUUACUGGUCCAUUACUGACGCUGAGGCUCGAAAGCGUGGGGAGCAAACA
rnacentral:rRNA from 1 species